UUUUAUUUUUUGUGAAAGAGUGAAAGACACAGAGUCUCAUAUCCUAUAUUUAUCAAGAAAUACAAUAACUAGUAAAAAGAAUACAUUUUGACACAAAUUUUAGUUGCUUGGUGCAGCAGGAGCCUGUCUCCAACCAUCUUUAAAAAUAAAUUAAAAGGAAAUACUGCAGCAGAAGAGGAUUUACCAAGAGGCAAGAGUCCAAGAUCCCUCCCAUAUAGGGAAGUAUUUUAGGGUUAUUUAUUUGAGCUUCCUAGAACCUUCUCCGCAUGAAAAAUUAGAAAUUCAAACAAACAUCGAACUUCUCAUGCAGCUUUCGGAAAGUUGGAAGUCAAAAAAACUGAAUUUAUAUAAAAAGCUAGAAAGCUCAGUUUUAUGAGCUUUUUGAGCUUUCGGAGCUCAAGAAGUAAAUACAUCGUCUAAAAACUCUAACAAUAGUUUUAAAAAAAACCUCAAAAGCUGCCACUCAGACCCUGCUGCAGCAUUGGACAUGUUUUGUCAUCAUCGAUAUUGUAGGCCCAAAUGGCAACCAUUUCAAAUAAAUCUUAGAUACAGCCCAAGACAGGGAGCUUUGUAAUUUCGCACGCAAUAGGCUAGUAUUUGGGCUUGACUUUUAGCUGGAACUAAAUUAGGCCCAUGUUUGACUUAGGCUUGGGCUGAGUUGAGUUCCUUGCUAAACUUAUGGAAACGUUAUCUUUUUUUUUCUUGUUAGCUUAUAAUAAAUCACUUCUUAUUUGUAAGACCAAACCAGAUAUUCUACAAAAAUGCGUGCGGUGCGUAUAAUGCAUAUCUUUAUAUGUCCAAAGUAUAAUUUUUUUUUAACUUUGGAAGCAUGCGGUGCGUAGUGUGCUAUCGCAAUAUUCAGAGUUGGCGGUGAGCAGGGUUAGAGUUAAGGAGAGGAUUUACCAAGGCCCCUCAAAUGUAAGCAGAACUGCUACCGAUGGAAUUUCAGGAAUCCAAGUUUCAUGUAAUUUACUUGUGUUAGAAAAAGUAUUUGUUUUAAAAUAUAAUAAUAUCUAUCAAUCUGACCUCAGGAUCACAAUAUUUUUCAUCUUGUAGCACAAUAUACGAAACAAUACCAUGAAAACCAAGGAACACGAGUUAGGAAGAAUAUUCAGAUAGAAAAUACCAUUUCACUUGACAAAAUGUACUUUCUGAAGUAGAAUAUCCCAGUCCACGAAUCCAUAUCUGGAAAAGAAAAAAGGAGAGGGGAAAAGCACCCUCGCUCGCAUGGGCCUCCUGGUCCAGCUCCCCAACCUCGCCGGCGUCCGGCGCCCGGCCGCCGCCGCCGCCUUCCCCCAGAGCUGCCGCGGCGGUCGCCUCACGGUAUCCGCCGCGGCGCCCGGCGGCCGCGUAAAGGAGGAAGAGGCCAAGGGGGCGGGGAAGAAGGAGAAGAUUGUGAUUAGAGUCUCCGACCCGGUGCGGGAGAGGAGGCUCCCGCCGCCGCUGUUCUCCGCACCGGACGAGCCGUCGGAGCGCCCACCGGGUCCGAAGGAGGGAGGGGGACGGGGUGACCAGGACGGCGAGGAGGCUAAGAAGCAGUACUACGUGAACAUGGGGGACGCCAUCCGCACGCUGCGGGAGGAGCUCCCCGUCGUGUUCUACCGGGAACCCAGCUUCGACAUCUACAGGUUUGCGCGAUUUCGCCCCCCUCGUCUUUUCCGUUAUCUCAAGCUGCUUCCAGAGACAAUUGCAGUGAAUUGUUGUCAAUGGUCGAUCCAUUUCUUGUUUGUAUGUUCCAUUGAGUGCCGGAAAGGUGUGGUAAAAUGGUUUUUUCCCCUUUAGUACCAUCUGCUUCGCCUAGACGAAUUAGGGAAGAAAUGGUGAAGAUUUGUUGUUUGUCGAGAUGCUCAUAGGUCGAAUUGAUAAGAAGGGUUGUGAAUAUUUGCAGGCUAUGUAUAACCAGCCAUAGAUUAAAUUUACCUGCCCUUUGGUAUCCGCUGGCUGCUGCUGGCAAAUAUAGGCUUGGUGUUUGUCCUGGUUGAGGUAAGAUGAGCAUAAUGUCUCUUAAAGAUGCAUGGUGGUUUUUACUUCGAUUAAAUUGGCCCACUUUGAUUAUCCAUUAGUCUUGCCUGCUUUGGUUGUAGACUAGAAAGUACUGUGAGCAUGGGUAUUUUUCCAAUUCCAGUCAAUUGCCUCCAUGAACUGCUAGAAUAUAGAGCAUAGGCUUUGUCAUAUGAGUGAGAUAUCUGAAUGUGUUAAGCAUCUAACGACCACAUAAUUUCCAACUUAUUGCACCCAAUAAGAAGGUUAUACAUUGGCAGUGGGAUUCAAUGGUAGUCUCUACUUCAUAUAUAGUUAAUCUGAGAAUUAAAAAAUGUAACGUGUAGGGUAUAAAUAUGAAGUCAUUUCCAAUCAAGCAGUCUGUUUGAAAAUCAGGAAUUUGUAGAGGUUGUAAUCUUCUAUAAGACAUGAGGUGUCAUCAGAAAUUAAUAUACACCCUUUCACUUGAAAAGAAACUAAUAUGUUGACCUAUGAACUGAAACCCCUUAUAAAGAAUGACAUCAUUCACUCAGUAAUGUUUUUUUCCUCGAAUACACAGGAGCUGUGUAUCAUUUCAUUAAAGAAGAUAACAUUCACUCAAUAAUUAAGUAGCACCAAUAGAAAUUUGAUAUAAAAUUGUUAUGGAUGACAUAUGGUGCUGAGCCUUGCGGAUGGCAUGGUGCUGAGGCCGGCGGAUGGCAUGGUGCCGAGGCCUGAGGCAGACAGCUAACCCGACAUUGUGGCGCGGCAUUGGGAGAACGGUGGCUCUAGGGAAGAGCAGAAGCGAGAUCGAUUCGGAACGAUCAAUCUGAUACCAUGAAAAUGAGAACAGAAAGAGAGAGUUUGGGAAAAGCACACUGCACAAUCUGUGUGGGCCUUAGCUUUCAUUAUAUAGCCAUAUACGGCUACAACAAAAAAGAUAGAGAUACCAAUAUACAAGGAAGGAGAUUAGGCCAGGAAACCAACUAACAGGCUAGGCGUGUCUCCUGUACAACUAAACAUGUGCAUGUUAACAAAUAGAAUAAGACACAUUGAAAUUGGAUGAACAUAAUCUUUCUUUCAAUACUGUUUUUCCUUUCUUCAAUAUAAUUGUAGUUUAAUUAAUCGGAACACGGAAGAUUGAAAAGUAAUAACCCACAUAACCAAAUGAAGGGCAUGUCAUCCAGAUUGGAAGGAUAUAAAAGUUGAUGCUAACUUUUUGCAUCCACAUUUUCUAGUAUUUGGUCUGUACGAAACUAUUUGUUCGUUAGUCAAGUUGAGUUCAGUAUUUUCGUCAGCCAACGAUUAGUUCGACUCUUCAGUUGGCCUGGGUGUGUGGUGUUGGGUUUGCUGUUUUUAGACUUUGCUCUCACUCCUCAUACAAAGGCAGAUCUCCUGUUGGUUCAUGAAAAAAAGGGCAUCCAAAGCCGAACUUUUCCCUUGGGUCUGAACUCUGAACCCAUCAGGUUUGCUGGAGAGCCUUGUCAUAAUCACUUCCUAAUUUUACCUAGAAAAGUAUUAUUGCACACCCUGUCCAUUCUUCUGCAACAAGGAAGUAGAGCAAAAUGACAAGAAACAGAGCAGCUGGAACAGAGAGGAAAAGGAGGGAGAGAGGGGUGUGCUGGCAAAGAAGAAUGAUAAUUCAGACAUGGGCAAAGCCAGAGAGAUAGAUGGAUAGAUCACUUUGUUUACUUACAUUGCAUACUUAAUUUCCUAACAGUCGAAUCUACACAAACCAACUACCAAAGAUAUUAAGACCCUGAAUCUAAAAUGUCUCAAAUUCUCAAGGUAACUUCCUAUCAAACUAUCAGAAUAAACUUAUACUAUAUUAUCUGGUGUGCUGCUGCUGGGGCCCACAUGCACAAGGAUGCUCUUAUUAUUCCUUAGUCCUAUAACAUUGCUAUGAGUUACUUAUUCCUGGUACUGAGAGUAUUCACUAGUAACAUUUUCUGACCGAAAACUCUGAGGAAAAUCCCCACAGUGAGAUAAUUUUUAGUCUCAUGACACUGCUAUGAGCUACUUAUCACUGGUUAUGAGAAGCUUGUUAAUGUUGUCAUAGUAUGAAAUGCAAGCUUAUGUAGUUUUGUCAACUAUGGCACACGGGAGUACCUGAAAUUGUAGAAAUUGUUGGCAACCUUUUUAUGCUCUUGACAGUAUUUUAUAAUGGUUAAUUAUGGCAUGUGCUUAUGCACCAGUGAAUACUUUUAUAUACCCUGGCAUAUAAUAUUCAUUUCUGUUGGCUUAUUGUUCAAUAAUGUUUCCGUGCUAACAUAUCUUUUACUGUCCCCAGAGAUGAUAUUGUCUUAAAAGAUCCUCUCAAUAAUUUCAAGGGCAUUGUUAAUUACAAAAGAAUAUUUUGGGCACUGCGGUUUACCGGCCAAAUUUUCUUCAAGGCGGUGUGGAUUGACAUUGUCAGCAUAUGGCAGCCUGUUGAUAAUGUAAUCAUGAUUCGAUGGAUUGUCCAUGGCAUCCCUAGAGUUCCAUGGGAGGGCAAUGGCCGCUUUGACGGCACCUCUGAGUAUAAGUUGGAUAAGAAUGGGAAGAUCUAUGAGCAUAAGGUGGACAAUAUUGCCAGGAAUUCACCAACAAAGUUCAAGAUCUUGCCUGUUGUUGAGCUCAUAAGAUCACUUGGAUGUCCAUCUACUCCGAAGCCAACAUAUUUUGAGACAUCAUGUCUAUCUUUGAUUCACUGCCGUUAUUUUGGCUGAGUUUGACUUGGAUGAGAUGUAACUGAUGCUAGAAAAUUUAGCAAACGAGCAAAGGUUAAGGUCCGACCUGAUGUCUCCAAAUUUUGCCGGUAAUGCACUUCAUCUACUUACCAAAAUGAGCAGCAGUUAAUUGUAAAAGCCAUGUAUUUGUACAGCGAUAGUCCUUAAUUUAGAAAUAGCUAUAGUAGUUCCUCUUGCCCAAGUUGCGUAAGCUAUUUUUGUCGUCUGGUGCUGAAAUUGACAGAUGUCUGGGGAACUUUUGCAUAUAUAUAUAUAUAUAUAUAUAUAUAUAUAUAUAUAUAUAUAUAUAUAUAUAUAUAUAUAUAUAUAUAUAUAUAUAUAUAUAUGUAUAUAUAUAAGGUGUCUCACACUGUGUGUGUCUGUGUAUGUAUGUAUAUAUAUAUAUAUAUAUAUAUAUAUAUAUAUAUAUAUAUAUAUAUAUAUAUAUAUAUAUAUAUAUAUAUAUAUAUAUAUAUAUAUAUAUAUAUAUAUAUAUAUAUAUAUAUAUAUAUAUAUAUAUAUAUAUAUAUAUCUUCUUGUGUUGCACGAAGGUGCAUCGUUAGUUCAUUGUACAGGCGCAGCGCUUCGCUAAAACAUGAAUUCCCUGUACAUGUCGAAUGCUGUGAGCUAUGAGAUCAAGUAUGUAUUCCUCUCUAGAUUAAGUUGAUGUUGCUUUGAUCUGUAGAUACAUUCCAGCUCAGAAGGACAAUAUAUGUAUUGUAGCUUAUUGGUGUCCUCUCGUCCUUAUUACUGAAAUAAAGAAAACAUUAAUUAUUUGCCUUGCCAUUUUCUUUAAAGCUAGUUUCCUUCUGUGUGUGUCUCUAUAAACUAUCAAUACUCCUCUUUUUCUUGCGUUUCAACUCAGGUAUAAGCACAACUUUGCUCUUGCAUGAUGCUUUUGUGAUUAGGAUCAUUUGUAAGCUACGAAGCAUGUUCUAUACAUGAAGGCAGCAAUUAUUAGCCAGUUCAGUUCCAUCAGGAACCUAACAAAAUUCUUGCAUUGUGAAAUAUUUAAGUCUGGUUAUAAAGCCCUCAGGAACAUUCUCUAUCCGAACUACAGAGGCAAAGACUACAGAUAUGUAACAUUACUUCAGGAAACCUGUUUCUAGUGAAUUUUGUAAGAAACAUUAAAUCAAAAUAAUUAGUGGUGAAAAUGGCAUGUACCUUAAUAAUAAAUCAAAUUGGUUUUUAGAUACAGAUACAUGUUUGAAUAUCAGGUGGGACAAAAUAAAAAUGUUCCAUUCCAUUUUUUUUAUUCAUAUGCAGAAUUGCUUCGAAGUUCAUAGGACUUCAAAUACAAAGUAUCAAAGCAAAGCAAGAACUUCAGAAGUAGCACUUUGCGUAAACAUAUGAGAUGUACAUUAUACAAAAAAAAAACUUAACUCUCGCCACAUCAAAAAUAUUCAUUGGAGUUAAGUUAUAAGCAGAAAGAGUAAAACUAACACCUUUCGCAUGCCAUCAUCCAUGAACAAGCACGGGAAAGUGUAUACAGCAAGUGCAUCUGCAUGCUUGCAUGGAGGCGCAUGGUGUUUCAGAAGCAGAGGAAAUCCCCCUUCAUCGUCGGCGGGAAGCCGGACUCGCCGCAGAUGCAGUCCAUCUUCCAUCCCGGCAGUGCAUUAGUGGCGCCGUCCUCUGCCCCUUUUCCGGUGCUGCCGCCCCACACCAACACGGCGGCUGGUGACGGCAAGUCACGUGUUCACGGACCAGGGAAGAGGAGCCACCGCUCGCCGGCGCCACCGCGUGGUUGUUGACGAUUACUCCGGCGGCAGCCUACCAUUCCCAUCCACGUCCCCAAUUCUUGCAGGUUCUUGGGUGUCUUCUUUGUGAAUCUGUGCGCUUUCUUCGGUGUCCUUUAAUUUUUUUUCCCCAUAAAUUCAUCUUAUCUAACUGUAACUCUUAUAGCAUUAAACAGAGAAGAGAAGUGAUUACCCAAACAAGGACCAUUAUCUAUCUCGUUGCAUUACAUAUUUUUUUUAAAGAAAUAAAGGACGAAGCUUUAUUUCACCGAAAUAACAUCCUGGCCUAUGCGUUAUUGGGAACAUAAUGUUCCUGGCCUAUACAACGGUAUAUAUUUCUGGAGCACAGCGUGUAGUCAAGGCUUAAAUCCGUUUGCUUCUUCACAAGUAGUUACCACGUCCAUGUCAUUUGCCUGCUCUGUAUCGCUGAGUUUUUUUGGAGGUUCCUUGCAUCUGCUGUAAAUGCAGUAGACAGCCAACUGAAGAAUCCCUGUGAAACAUCCCGCAGCGUUUGGCGACUUCAGAACAAAACAAAUUGGUCAGUAACUCACUAUGAGUGACAGAUGAUAGUGUAAAGCCAAGUUGCACACUAACCGUGAUAUAAGGAUCCCUUCCUAGUAUUCCAUAUAUCAUCCAUAUUAAACUGGUUAAGAAGGAGAACAAUGACAAGUAGAAAGGCAUGAACUCAACACUUUUCGUCCUCAUAACUUGUUUCUGCAGUUGUGAUGAGAAUGCAAAGAGUUCAGAUUAUUGAAGGUUGUGCAAAUAAAGGCUAGCUUCCAUGAUUCUGAAACCAGUAUAAGUGACUCUACUCACCACAGCUACAAGCGGAGAGCUGUACAUCGACAUGGCAGUUACUAUACCAAUACUUCCAACAAAUACCUUGCGCAUAUGGUGGGUAUGGAUGAUAAGGCUUGAGACACAUGCAGUUACACAGAAGAUUGCCAGCACUAGAGAGACCAUUAGCAUGACAAAUUUCUGCAAGGUUGUGUCAAACUUAGGAUUGCUGGUCGUCUAAUGAGUAACUCAAACAUUUUAAACCUUCAUGAUCACAUAAUUCACAUCCAUUAAAACUUCUUGGUGAAAUACUGAAACUAAUGUUGUAGCAUUUCCUUUCAUUUUUAUUUUUUUUGAAAAAAGUUAGAGUGCAGAUGUAUGUAAUCACACUGAAACAUGAAUAAUGACUUCUUUAAUGCAUUAGGCAGAGCUCCUGCCCUUUCACUUAAAUAGAAAACAAUAAUACGUAACUCCAUUUUUCAUCAAACAAUGUACUGGUUAUCAAGUUCUAGUAGAUCUAAAAUUGAAACUCAGUACCAGUUUGCAGAAGUUAUCCAGUUUCUAUGCAGAAAGCACGGUUUUGGCUUGUCAAGUCUACGUACCAUCACAUAGUUCCCCAACUAUUUAUUUCUAGUGUACCAAUUCUAGUCUAUAGUGAAAAAGAUUUAAAUAGAGAGACUCCACAGAUAAUACCAUUCAGUUUAACUUGAAAGUUUUAGGAUGCUAAAGGAACAUUAUGAGUUCUUCAGAAAUACCUAGCCACCUACCCUUUUUUCUCUUGGCGCAAACCAUAUGUAUAUGCUGAUGAAUAAGGUUUCAAAGAUUCCUCCUAUUGAGCACGUACCGGAGACUGACAGGUUCUCCCAACCAUAACUCACAACUGGAAAGCCGUACCAGCUGUAUGUUAGUGUGCUGAACAACGCUAGGAUAUAUGGUACACAUGAGAAUUCUCGAACACUAGCCUCCUUUAUCACUCUUUUAAACGUCAAUCUGGAUCACACAAGAAAUACAGUAGUAAGAAAUAUGACAAACUAAAUAUGUUUACAUCAAAUUAGUUGAGGAUGUAAUUUGUACAUUGGAACUGCAUAGAGGACUAUACUGACUGCAGAUGCUGCAAGGAAGAAACAAGAUCGUGUUAUUACAAAUUAAAGAUGGAGUGGAGUGAAGGCAAUUACAUUGUAGAUGGAAAAUACCUAUAAUUCCAACUAUUACUCGUAUGCUCGUAACCAUUGUUGCUGUGGCUUUUUACUAGUCCUGGCACGUACUGUUGGCCAGGAGCCAAAUGUUCCACUGAUAUUAUUGUUUACAACAGAAGUGGCCUACUUGUAGUGCACAAGGUACUGCAGUCGCUUAAAUCAGGAGAAAAAGCCAGCUUUAAAGACAAUAAUGUUAGAAUAUCGCAUGAUGAGCUGCUUACGCUUUUUUCAUAUUAAAAACAAUGAUUGCUGUAGAUGCAUAAUAAUGCAAACAAAGUCUUAUAUAUUCUCGGGCAUCUACCUAAGAAAUUUCAGUGCUGUUCCUUCAAGAAUCAUUAAAGCUUUACAUGUUUAAUUGUUGUCCGUUUUUGUUGUUGGACCUGCUGGUAUCUUCAAGAAUAAGGAAUAAUUACAUGAAAUCAUCCAUAGUGAUCUAUAAUAAUAACACCGAUAUGCAGAUACGGUACCAAACUUCUAGGUUUGCUUUGAAUGUGGGGCAACAUUAUUGAAAUUUCUUGGUAUUCUCAAGCAUCAUGUUGACGCGAGAGCACUCCAAACACUAAGCAUUGAACUUGUGCAACAAAUCACAAACAAGAACCUUCCUGCCAGGGACCCUACUGGGGAAGGUGCACCUUGCUGUGAUGGGUUGUUCUAGUCAGCGCCUCAGUGCGCCACCUAAGAAGCAUUUAACAACCAUUAAGAUGAAGAAAGAACAACAAUUAGGGUUUGCAAAGGGAUUAGGGUUUUAAGAGGCAAAUAGUAAAAGAUACUUGUGUAUUUUGAUCGAUUGGAUAACCUCGGCGUGGACUCCUCCAUAUAUAUAAGGUGGAUAUGUCUUGCCCCAUAUACAAAUCAAAUUCAUCACAAGAAAGAGGUUGGGAGUAUUUCAAUUUCUGAUGUAUUAUCUUGAUGUGGCGUUCUUGAAAUUAAUAAAGCUUCCCAUUUCAAAAUAAAAAAAAUAUAACAUUCCUAUUUCUUAGUGAACUUAGACCAAAAUCAACCAAAGGGCGAUGCUAACAACAACUCAUCCACCAUAUUAAUGCUUAGGGCAAGAUUUAUGCUACCAUCAACAAAACAGAACCCAAUCUUUACUAUCCAUCAUCGCCGCUACCUUUGCCCAUCGCCACUGCACUUAUCUGAAUCUAGUUCCCAUCAAAUCCUAUCAACUUGCAGUGAUCUUCCAAAGGAUCCUCUAUGCUGCCAUUGCCAUGUGGACGUGGUACAAGCAGGACACAGCCGAUCACCUUGGAGGCAUGAUGAUGAAAUAUAGUGGGAGAAGGUGCCGGACAAUGAUGGAGUCCUCUGAGGCGAAGGCAACCAAAGGUCGCGUUGGGCGUGAUCAUGGUUGAUGAGGAGAUUUGGCUACAUAUGCUUGGUCGAGCAAUGAAGUUUGUGGUGGCACAAUUGGAAGCUGGAUGAAGAUCGUGUUUCUAGCAUGGUAUAUGGAUUUAUGGAGGUGGAGACUGUGAAGGCAAAAUGCCUAUUCUUAGUUUCGGAAGGCCCGAUUUCAACGUACGUAGCAAUAGAGGUGGAGGCUGAGGUGGUGCAAAUCCCCAAUAGGGAGAGGAGGAAGGGGAGCUUUAUUGUGUAUUGGGCUUGGUCAGGAAGUUACAGCAUGCACUAUGGGGGUGAUAUGGCAUGUACAUGGAGGCAUCGUUGUGGCCAUGGGGCCAAGGGGCACCAUUUCCUACUAAUAAAAACACUUAUAUUGGACACCUCAUCUCUCACAUAUUCUUUAAAACCGUACAGUUAUUAUCUCUAAUGCCUCAUAUUAAAAACCGACUACACGAUGAGGUUUGCUGUUUAGAACCAUGGGUGAUAAAGGCUCACCCCACCAUGGUCCCAAACAAAAAUUAUGAGAAUUCUAUCCCCCAUGCUUACUUGGAAUGGUGAGGAUAGCUCCGUCAUCUCUUCAAUAUCAAUAUCAAAUCCAUCAUGCCUUAUGGAUUUAAAUAAGAAUAGUGGGAGAUAAACUAUGUUAUUAUUCACACAAUUCAAAACUAAUAUCUUUGACAAUUCCAAAUAAUUAAGUACCAUGAGAAACUAUAUUCUCCCAGUUAAAUAUUUGUCAAAAAAUGUUUAAAAUUGAUACUCCAUCCCUAUUAUACGAUGACUUUUGGGGAUUUUAGGACAAAUUAAGUUGGAAGAGAAAAGCCUUUCAUCCCCCCUCCCCCACUAAAGCAAACGGGGUAACAAAUAAUUGGCCAUGUCUUAGUUUGGUUGGCACAACUAGUGACUGGGUUAGCUCAUGAUUGGCCAGCUCUUGAUUGGAUACCCGAAAGUCCUAUAGCUAGGGACAAAAUUCAAACACUAGAAGUCAUUAUAUUUAGGGAGGGAGGGAGUACUUUUGAUGAAAUACUUCUACAAUAAAAUGCAAUGAUUAUUUACAAAUAUAUUAUGUAGUAUCCAUGGUCAUGGACUAUAUAACAUUGUGAAAUAAUAAUGUUGAAUCAUGGUUAAGUAGGAUCUAACUAUAACGGUAGUAAGAACGUAACAAAAUAAUGGUUUACAAAGUGGUUAGUUGUAUAAACUCAAAUUAUAUUAAUAUUAUAGUGAGAUGAUGAUAUAUAGGUCAUAUAAAAAACAACUCUAAAUUAUUAAUUAUAUAAUGAAUUUAUAAUAUAUUAAAUCAUGUAUUAUAAAUUACUAAUUCUGAUGAAAAAACAUUUUAUAUAAAAACUGUAGCUCUCCAUGGUAUCUACUCCCUCUAUCCCAUGAAGAGUGCAAUUCUAAUUUUUCUAGGACAGAUUAGUGGUGGUGUGAAAAGACUCUAAUACUCUCAUUUGUUGGCCACAUGCAGUAAGUUUUCUAAUUCUGAUGAAAAAAUAUUUUUAUAUAAAAACUGUAUCUCUCCGUGGUACCUAUAAUUUUGUAGUUGACAAUAUUUUAAUAUAUGAAGUCAUUUACUGAAAUAUUCAUGCAAAAUUUCAGCGAACAAGAAUCAAUGGAAUAAAGUAUAGGUGGAAUGCUAAGGAGGAUUCGAGCGAGGGGGUGGGGGGUCAUGGGUUUGAAGCUUGGAAACCACACAUCCGUGUAUUUCACAUAAGAGACACAUGUGGUGUGCAAUGCGCUACAGGGUGGCUAGUUUGGGAUGGUCUUCGACUCCAUAAUGUAUUUUGCUAUUUUUAACGUCCAUAUGCCUAUUUAAUUUGAUGGCGAAUGAAAGGUAGUAGGAGCCGUGGGCGAUUACCCUUUGUGUAGUAGUGAUGGACGGCGCAGUCGAGGAUGCUUGAUGGAUGGUGCAGCCACGACGAUGCUGAGAAACACCACCAUGACAGGAGCAACUGUGGAUGAAGCGGUCAUGGACUCAUGGUGCCGCCCGGCGGCGUGGUGGAUGCUGCGACGGUGGUGGUCAGUGAUGGAGUAUCCUUGUUUUUUGUUGUUCUUUUCUUAUCUUAUCUUUUUUUAAUCCAUACAAAUCGAACCAUGCAUCUGUAGUACUAGCACUAUGAGUCAAAUGAAAUUUUCUAUAACAUCCACAUCACACAUAGUUCACACGGUCCAUCACCCUUUCCUCCAGGGCUUGGGGUUCGAUUCCCCCACCAACAAUGCAAGUUAUGAUAAAUUUAGAGUUAGAAAGGGCAACUUGUAUUUUAUAUUUGAUUAUGAUAUGAUCAAAUGUCCAAUGGUCAUUCUUUUUUCCAGCUUGAGCUUUUAAUGUAGUCUUUGACGAAUAAUAUGUACGUAUAUAUAAGAACAACCCGGUGAAAAGAAACGUAUUAUUUCUUAAUAUAUUAUAGCCUUAUAUAUAACUAGCUUUGAAGAUUUCUUAAAAUAUAUCUUGGACGGUUCGUGAAAGGAACCAUGGGGGACUUGCGAGCCAUUUAAGAUGCAUGACCCUUUGUGUAGUAGUGCAUGCAUGAUACAUGUAAGAUGUUACCGUAACGUACCUGAUCGAUUCCACAUUUUCUUAGUUAAAUUAUUCCAGAAAAAUUAUCCAACUUGAUGGUAGGGGUCUUUCCCAUCUGGUGCGGAUCAUCCAUCAUGCAAAUCAGAAUAUAGUAGAUGAUCACAGCAUACUAUAACAACGAGCAUAACUUUUGCAAAGGUGCCUACGUCUGGCAUUUUAAAGGGUGUUGAUUGUCCGCCCAUGAAGAGAUGCGGUACAACUUUGGAACAGCCAAUUGUUGUGAUCUGGUAGGAAUCCCUUUGCAUACCUGAAGACGGACUGCAUAGCUGCUAGUAAGCUAAGUGAAGGGUCCCAUCAUUAUCCUACAAGAACUGAUUCUGCGUUGGGGACAAAUUCUCUUUCCUGGGAACCAUUCAGAUGCUGUUGGCUGCUCCGAUCGAUCCUCAGCGCGUCCCUAACAGAUGUGCUUCGUAUCUACGCCACAGGUUUCUCGUGUCCAGCAGAAACGCUACGUACGAAAUUGCCAUGUCAUUGUCAUGCAAGGCCGUGUUGUUUCUAAUCUUGAUCCUGGCACAUGAGAACCAUCCAUCCCAAGUUAAUGUGUGGUUCUCACUUCUCAGGAACCAGUCCGGCUUCCAUCCGGGCAGCGACGUCUCAGGCAACCCCUGUUAGAGUAUAUGGUAAGAAUCAUAUCCAAGAGAUGACACCACCGUUGGUACUCGCAAGUUUCUGGAUACGGUACGGUGAACCUGCCUCUCCUCGCGUGUUUCCCUCCAUGUAUGUGUAUCAGUGUAUCGAGGUAAAUCUUGACUUAGAGCAGCCGCGCGCACAGUUGUCGUUGUUCUGCUGGUUGGCCAUGGUGACGAGUGGAACAACGAGGACAGAACGGAUUGGGAGGUUAGGUUGAUACCAUUAUGCAUGAAAAGAAAUCAGUUAAGCAAGAAUAGCAAGACAAUUCUCAUUGAUAUGUUUGCCAUGUACAUAUACACGAUGUACAAUCUGUUUACAAGUUGUUAGGUCGCAACAAUCUACACAAAUAUCCUUGAUACCAUGCACAAAGCAAGGCUAUCCUGAUACACAGGAAGCUGAAUGUACGCCUUGCGGUGUGGAGCGCUGUUGUCGGACAAAGAACAGGAAUUGAUGAAGGAGUAUUCUAUCUAACCCUUAAAUCAGAAAUUUGAGAAAAAUAGCUCAUCUCUAUAUAAAAUCAAUAUAAUUGUUACACAAGGUUGAAAGGAACUAAAAGUCUGCAAAAAUACUCCACUAAUGCGUUAGUUAUGCAAACUGCUUGACAAUAGAAUAUCCUAAUAAAUUAACUAAAAAUAGGAAAUAAAUGCAGGUGCCUCGCCAUUUUGACCUGGUGGGUGCUGAGGAAUUCAGAUGAACAGCAGUUUUCCCCAUCAUCAGUUUAAAAUGUCAUGCGUACAAUGUCCACAUAAUACUUUGGAUUGUUAAUUAAUUUAACAUGUUUUCCUCCAUCAGAUACCAAGUAAUCAUCACAUAAGAUAUGAUAUUUACAGUCGGCAGAUAUCCGACCGGCUACGUAAGACAUCCUGUCUUUUUAGAAUGAAACGACCAGAGGGGGUAGAGGAACUGAUUGCAGGUGCGCAUUGAUUUCUUUGAGGAAACUAGUUUUACAAACACAGCGUUUGUGCUGUGAAAAUGCACCAAGAGAAAUAGCAUCAAAGCAGUUCCAGAAAUAGAUAACUGCUGCGUAUCCAAAUACUACCAUUGAAUCUCUCUGCUAGAAUUGCAGGAAUACAACAAGGCAGUUUCUUAAUUAAGAAAAGAACAGGCCUUCGAGCUAAGGCUUACAUCCAUUUGUGUCUCCAAGAGUAGUUGCCACUUCCAACUCGCUUAUUACCUGCUCAAUAUCAUCGUGUGUUUUUGGUGGAUCCUUGCAUCUGCUGUAAAUGCAAUACACAACCAACUGAAGGAUUCCAGUUAAACACCCGACGCUGUUUGGUGCCUUCAGAACAAAACAAGUUGGUCGGUAACUCAGUUUGACAACAACAGUGGUGCCAACAUAAGGCAGAAGAAUCACAUGACAAUAGUAGAUUUAGUGUAAAGCUUAAUUGCAUACUUACAGUGAGAUAGGGAUCCCUUCCUAGGAUUCCAUAUAUCGUCCACAUUAAACUAGUUAAUAAAGAAAACAGCGACAAGUAGAAAGGCAUGAACUCCACACUUUUCGUCUUCAUAACUUGUUUCUGCAAGUUCGGGAGUGCAAAAAAGCCAAUUAGUAGAGAUGAGCAAAUAAAAAUGCCUCCAAUGCAUCCGUGGUUCUGUUACAACUGAUAGUACUCACCACAGCUACAAGCGGAGCACUGUACAUCGACAUGGAAGUUACGAUACCAAUACUGCCAACAAAUAGCUUGCGCAUAUGCUCCGUGUGGAACGUAAAGAUUGAGAAGGAUACAAUCACGCAGAGGAUUGCCAGAAUCAGAGAUACCAUUAGCACUACAAACUUCUGCAAGGUAAAGAGAAUCAUUGAUCAGCUUGUGCAUAUAUAACUCAAACUUUUUAAGCCCACAUGAUCGCAUGUAUUAAGACUUCAAAUAAUCAUUCAUAUGUCUGCUGCCUGGGUCAAACGUACUGAUGCAUUAGCUAAUUGCAUUUCAUUUCAUUUAAAAAAAUCAUAGUGCAGAUAUUAUGUUCUGUCUUACAUGUGUUGGACAAGAAUAAGGAACUUGUUUAAUAUAUUAGGCAAGUGAUCCUGCCCUUUUGCUUAAACGGAGUCAAAGGACACAAGAAUAAGUAACACUACUUUUCUGAAAAGAUGCGAAGUAGUAACACCAGUUUCAUUAAAUUUAGUGGUUCUACUAAGUAGGUGCUCUUUUUUUCAUUAGCAAGUUUGUCCCUGUAGUUGUUGGGGGUUCAAUCUCCAAAAGUUGUAUGGUUUUGGGGCCCAAUUUUCCCUUAAAAACUGGCCAAUCCUCUUUUUCUAGUAAUACUAUGGCAAAGCUUUGACCGUCCUGAAAAGGGGCUUUUUUCUUUUUUACUUCCUACGCAGCAGAUACUUGUGUAUUUGGCUUGUCAUAGUUGCCCAAGAUUUUGUUUCAGCAAGCAAAUUAUCGUAUGAUAGUGAAAGUAACAAGAGAAACUUAGCAUUCAGUAAUCUCAGAAGUUUUAAGAUUCAGCAAUCUCUUCAGAAGUUGCCUACCUUUUUCUCUCUUGGUGCAUACCAUAUGUAUAUGAUGAUGAAUGAGAGCUCAAAGAGUACUCCGAUAGCGCAGGUACCGAAGAGUGACAGGUUCUCCCACCCAUUACUCACUACUGGAAAGCCAUACCAGCCCCAUGUGAGGGCGCUGAAAAGAGCUAGGAUAUAUGGUAAGCAUGAGAAUUCUCCCACACUGGCCUCCUUGAUGACUCUCUUAAAUGUCAAUCUGGAAAACAAAAUCACAGAAAUAUAUCGUUAGCGAUACGCCAUCAUGCUGUUUCAAUCAUGUUAGCUCAUCAGGAUGUAGUCAUGUACGCUGGAACUGCAUAGAGGAGCACGCAGACUACAGAUCCUGCAAGAAAAAUUAAAAGACGAGGUGGUGUUACAGAUGCGAAAGCUGAAUGAGUCAAGCUAGGGGCGUAGUUUGCAGAUAGAAAAUACCUAUAAUUCCAACUAUGACGCGCAAGCUAGUAGCCAUUAUUGUUUCUAUGAAGGCUCUACGAGUAGUGUUAUUUGCCGCAGGGGGUCAGGAGCUAAAAUGUGCCACUGAUUCGUGCAUUGUUUACAAUAAUGGUCUCCUAUUUAUAGCACACGAAACAAAGUUGUCUGAAGCAGGAGACAAAGGUAUAGCUCAAGCCACUAUGCUAGAAUAUUGCGUCCUAAGCUUUCUGCAAAAGCAAAGAAAUACGGACCAAGACUUUCAUAUAUUGUCUGGUAUCUGCAUGCCUAUUAGGAGCCUUCGAGAAUAGUCAUCAAAGAACGAGAUACUCCACUUACAGUAGUAAUUUGCUACUGGAGAGGUGGACACAGUAGCUGUGCAUUAGGGUGCAUCUGUACCAUUUGUUCCAUUUCAAACGGUCCAGAGAUCAUUGACGACCUACAUAGAACUAUAGAAGCGGUACCAUAUCUUUUUGCUACAGUAAUCUUGCUCUGCAUGGCUCCAUAGCAUCCGACACAUUACUCUGCUGCUUAUCUGCCGUAAUCUGAAUAAAGCUAGGCACAAGAUCUGUGUCCACAAAGACAAAGCUUUCAUAUUUUUUCGUGAUCUGUCCGGCCGCCAAGAACAGUAUUUGUCGAUGAAGCGAAGAAAAUGAACAUGCGAACAGUACAACCUAGUAACAUGCUAGUGCACAAAAAUCCAACAACUUGUAAGAUUUCUAGAAAAAUAAAUUAACUCCAUUCCGUAUGAAACAAACUUUGAUAGGUUUGUAAAGUUGUUACCUGCCCUUUAAAAAUAUGUGAAUCCAUGAAAUUAUUAUCAAAUUUUCUAUAAUAAUGAUAAUGUGCGUUUAACUUUUCAAAUACAUAAUUGAUUCUCUGUUGAUCCAAAAAAAAUUAAGCCAAUUUUGCUAGUUUCCUUUUUAUUCAGUACAUGCAUCUACAUAUUGAUUGAAGUUGUUGCAUAAUGGUACUUUAAAUGAAUGAGGUUCAGUACUCUUAAAUAAUAGGCUGUGCGUUGUUUGAUAUGCCAAUCACCAUAUGACCAUAAGGCUUUGUUAAUUUAUUGCUUUGAAACUUUACCCAUGAGCUGAAACAAUAUAAUAAGAGAAAUAAUAUGGAUAUAUGCCUGUAUCAUGCAAAGGUUGGAACAGUGUUUCCUUUUCCUAGAAAAAGGGUAAACAUCAGAUUGUAAAUAACAUUAAUUCAAUGAAAGAAAAUAAUAAAAUAGCUGAGCGAUUGGUAUUCACAUUCUAUAGAUUUUGAUCCAUUAGAUUAUUUUAAGUAGUGUAACUAUAAUAUCUUAAAUACGACCGAAUAUUAUACAAUAGGCAUAAGACCAAUAAACAUUGUUAUGAACUUAAUUAGGCUUAUGAUGUCCGCCUAGCACUGUUGUAAACAAAAUUUUAUUUCUGUAGUAAAAUAUUUAUUUUGAUCGGAAUAUAACUAUCUUUGAUUAUACCUAUUCUAAGAAGGCACCAGGCCACAAAAGAUUUGGGCUGGCGGCUAAAAGGCUCUGUGCUGGUGGGCCGAGCACCCGCUAGCAACUUUGAGCCAGUACAAAUAGCGGUCUAGGCUCAUGGGAGACGUUAGCCACCCGCCAUCAUAGAGGCUUUCUGUGCUAUGCCACCCGUUAGGAAUAUUUAUUUUCUCACCCUAUAUAUUAUUUCUCUUGAUUUGUUUAUAAUUUCUAUUUUCCGUCAGUUUUUAGCCACUAAAUUUAAAAAUGUAUCUCCAACCAUGGAACAAUGAACUUAAAUAAUAAAUAAUUCAUAUUAUUAAAAAAUACAUCGUACAUAAUAGAUAAUUCAAAUUAUUCAACAAACUUGAAUAAUAAAUAAUUCACAUAAUUCAACAAUUGGAAUAGAGCUAUUCGUCCAUCUACGAUUGGAUCCAUCUAUGAAGACGUGUGCAUUCGUCCGCCACACCAUUUGGAUCAAAGAAUUCUCCGUCCUCAUGACAAAUCUCCCGUUGGAUAAACCUCACCAUGUCCCUACAAAUGUUGACGAUGCUUUUGUCUUCGAGUGCCGCAUCGCGAGUGUCAAUCCUAGGCGUCUACAGUUAUACAGUAAAUGAAGAUUAGAAUGUAUUAUCAUUAGGAAGUUAGCACAUGGUAAUGUAUAAGAGACUUACGUCUUCGGGGUUUGUCCGGUACCUCCUAUUAUUUCUAAGGAACUCGCACACUUAAUAUUUGCAUAGCACAGAGCUAGGAGGUUGCUUGUGGCACUGCAAUCGAAUAGAAAAAUGAUGAGUUGUUAUAAAUGACAAGUCUACAUUAUAUGAAAAGAAACCAAGUUUUUAUGUUCUUACCCUGUCGGGAUACGAGGUAGGCUACGCUAGCGCAAAUCAAAAUUUCUACCGCGUAUAACCAGGAAGAACUGCCGUAUAAGGAUCACGGGAUUACCACUCGACGCACUACUGGUGCGGAAGAUGUAGAUAUGCGUCGGUGCAGUGAAGACGAUCACGUAGUCGUACGUAGUCGAACAACGUAGUCGUACGUAGUCGAUCACGUCCAGCGGCUCCUCAGCAGCUCGUCCACGUGCACAGCAAGAUCGCCUCCGGUGCCGCGGCUCGUCGUCGGCUCGUCGUGGCUCGUCGGCGGCUCGUCGAUGGCUCGUCCAAGUGCUGCAGGCGCAACACCUCCAAGGUAUCCACACGUGCAGGGAGGAAGCGUCGCAAGCCGGAUUGCUAGAUCCGCGAGUUGCAACAGGCGAGGGCGUGGGAGGCGCGGCAAGUGUGUUCAGCCAAAAGGUGUGAACCCUAGGGCGCCCCCACCCCUCUAUUUAUAGAGGUUCCUGAUGGGCCUCUGGAUCCGAGGCCCAUUAGCACUCCUAAACCUAAUCCAACUCGGAUCAGAUCCGAAUUGGGCUUCCAGCCCCUUAAGUGUGUGACCCUAUGGGUUCGGAUACGUAUAGACAUGGCCCGAGUACUCCUACUCGGCCCAAUAGUCGGUAGCGGCCUCUAGCAAGACGUGCCAACUCCUAUACGCAUACGAAGAUCAUAUCAGACGAACCAUCACAACAUAAUAUACAUGCUAUUCCCUUUGCCUCACGAUAUUUGGUCUAGCUUCAAGCUGACCGCUCUUUCUCGAUCCUGUGAUUCGGAAUCCCUUUGUAGGUUAACUCUUAACCGUACGUAGCAUGGCCAUGCAUUUUCGGAUCCGAUCACUCGAGGGGCCCAGAGAUAUCACUCUCAAUCAGAGAGGGGCAAAUCCCAUCUUGAUUGACCAUGUCUCAUAGCAUGCUUCUUGACAAACCCGAAAGCUACCUUUAUAACUACCCUGUUACGGCGUAGCGUUUGAUAGCCCCUAAGUAGGUCGAUCCACAUCUAGAAUACAUGCGACAAUCUCAGGUCUAAGGACAAAGCGUAUAUGUUGUUUAAAGAGAGAACUACUUCUCGUGUUGGGUCAGUCCUAACACAUGUCUCCACAUGUGUCCACAUUAUUAGUUCAACAUCUCCAUGUCCAUGACUUGUGAAACAUAGUCAUCAACUAAUACAUGUGCUAGUCUAAUAUUCAUGUGUGUCCUCACAUGAACUCCGACUAGGGAUAACUUUAGAAUAACCAUACAAGUAAAGAGUUUCACAUACAAUUCACAUAAUUGCAAAUCAAUUCAAGUAGCCUUUAAUGGAUAUUCAAUGAACACAAUAUACAAAUCAUGGAUACAAAUGGAAUAUCAUCAUCUCUAUGAUUGCCUCUAGGGCAUACCUCCAACAUACCCAUCUAUGUGUUAUUAUUUUCAUCGCUUUCUUCCUAUUUUUUCAGGGCAUUCCCUGCCUUUCAGUACGUAAAUCCUGUGUGCACUUUGAGGAUAUAAAGACAAGAGUUGGUAAUAUAACUUAGGUGCAUAGAAUCUCAACAUGCAUUUAAGUACUGCUAAGGGAUGUCUUACUUCAGUACAAUGCCUAGGAAUUCCUUGUAACUAUCUUUGGUAAAUCUAGCUGAGUUGAGGAUCAUUGCAAAUCCAAGCUUGGGGUAAAUACAGAUGCAAAUCUAGUUGUCUCUGCAUUAUAUUAGAAUAAUUUAUAUUAUAGAUGGCAUUAAUUAGAACCAAGUAUGUAAAUAAUAAUUUAAACUAGCUAGCUUACUAAAAAUUGUAAGCCCCCAUGAUCUGCUGAUUGUGAGCCUUUUUCCUUGUAACUCUUGCAAUGUACACGAACACUUUGUGCAUUUAUUCUUUGUGGGCUUUUUCCUUUAUACCAUUUUUCUCCGCUUGUGCCUGUGCUGCUUCCAUUUUUGCUUUGACCCUUUCAUUCAAUUUGAACUUGUGCUCUAGCUCGCUAAUUCAUGCUGGGUCAAGGUACGCUACCGAGUACCUGCCGUUCAUCAAUUCUUCCUCUUUCCAUUGCAUCCUGCAGAAUAGGUAGUCGCUCAGGUACUAGACAUAUAAAAUACGUAAAACCCAUGUAUGCAGUACAUGUGGACUUACAAGCACCAUGUUUAAAUGAGCUGGACGUCAAUGUGUUGAUGGCGGUAAAGUUUGUACAAAUCCUCGAAAUUGAUCACAAUCUCGUAAUCCCAAGUGCCAAGGAAAACCUUUUUUGGGAUACACGUGGUUAUUACUUGAAUGCCUUGCUUCAUUACGUCCAUGGUCCAUCCAUGCAGCUUAUUGAGUUCCCAUGGACCCUCCAGCAGAUCCCACCGAUACAAGAAUGGUUUGCCAUGCUCAUAUUUAUCUGGGACUUCAUCUGACGUAAAGAAAUUGAGGCCUUCAUCUAUUUUCUUUCACUGAAAGGGGCUGCAAGCUACCGAUUUCUCACCGGAAGAUGAAGCCUUCUUCUUCAGUAUGUUUAAAACUUGUCGACUUGUGUCGAUGGAUCCUUAUUAUCAUAUGUCCUGACCAUUCGAGGUACCGCUGGCGGCUGGGAAGGUGGAGAUGGCAGCCUCGGCGAUGUUGGAUCAUCGCCUUGGAGAAACGAAGUCCAUUCCUCCUUAGUGAGACCUUCUAGAACAGGUGAUAGCGGCAUUGGCUGCUCGCCCUCAUUGAUUGAGUCAGCUGCUUGCCCUCAAUGGUAGCUACCUACACAUGUGACUGCGUCGGUUGUGCCGUGUCAACAUUUCACUGUACCAUGGGUUCAUCUUGGUUCGGUCGUGAGGUUUCUGGCGACGCAUUAAUAUUCAGAACGAUAUCUCGGUGAUGCCACAAUAUGUACUAGUUCAUCGCAUCACCGAGAACCUCAAUCCCCUCAUCAGUAGGGAUGUCAAGCUCGCAAAACUCAUCCAACAUAGUAACAACUUGCACCCAGGAGUAUUCUAGCGGGGGUUCCUUUGGGAACACAUGAGUUGUUACUACCAUGCUGGUUGCGACCUCUCAAAACUUAUUUUGUUUCCUUCCAUGAGGUAUAACCAACCUGUAUGGUCUAUCCACCUGUAUCUCAUCUAUAGGAUACCUCACGUUUGCAAUAGACCCAGCACUACUCAAAGCAAUGUAUCCUGUGUUGGCUAGCUGUAGGGGUGGCAAGAAUGCUAGGGUUGGUCAUUGCUUGUGCUUGCUGGGUGGUGAAGAACUCAAUCAGUUCCUGCUUAGCAAUUUCUCUCAUCUUCUCCUCAAGGUCUUUCUUAUAACAGUCUCGCUUCCUAUAGCUUCCUUGGUCGUUCUAGAAUGCUUUACCCCAGGGCAAUGUUGAUGACAUCCCCUGAACACGCUCAGAGUGCUCCACGGUUCCGAUUGUGGCAGUUAGCUAAUCUCUCUCCCUGUCCGGCUUGAAAAGACCCUUCUUUUGCAACUCGGUGAGCUAUUCCAACCUCUUGUAAAUUUCUGUUAUUGUUGGGUGUUUGAAUGUAACCUUGCCCUCGGGUGUGAAUACCGAAAUUUGAGCUAGCACCCAAUUCCUGCUGCGCUCAUCCAAACCUUCAAACAAAUCCGGUAAACCAGCUAUCCUCCGUUCUUCUUCCUCUCUCCUCCAUUUAGUGAUCUUGGCUGCGUACCCUCCCGCACCAAAGUGAUGGGGGUUCUCGGCGGCUUUCAUAGCCUUCAUGGUAUUUUCUUCGCUCAGGACUUUUGCUUCCGGCGUGUUCUUCUAUUGUACGAACUCCUCCCACAUUUCUGGAGGAAUCCUACCAAAGUUGUCCCUAUCAUUCUUGCCUUUCUUUACAUAGUCUGUAUUAAAAAUAGACCUCCAAUUCCUGAAACAUCUCCCAUGGAGGCCCUUAGCAAAUUUUCUUGCGGAAUCCUCUUGACCUUCAAGAAAAGUGAACUUUUCUUUCAAUAUGACCCACAAAACAUCCUUUGUAGUGGUAGGCACAUUCUUCCUAUUACUAGUCAUGAUCCAGGUCUGCAAUUUAUCUCUGAUAAUAGCUCCACAUAUGUUCUGAAACCUAGCAGCUAUCCCCUCAGCUAAUAUGGGCUCACCUUUGGAGCCAAGCAUUUCUAUGACGAGAGUACCUUUCUCAGGGAUCUGGUUUCGACUUUUUUUCCCAUGUUGCUUUUUCGGAGCACUACUAGAGUUGAUGUUCUACGACAUCGCAGCGGCAAAUGAACCGAGGAUUGGUCAUCGUUCUAUAGAGAAAACAAUAGUUGGAGUUUAUCAUCUUCAUGUGAACAACAAACGCAUCACUAGCUAGUAUAUGAAUGUGCAUGCAGGUACCUGAUGAUCCGCGGUUGGAUCGUAUUCAAGGUCAUCUUCAUCUAGAUGCUUGCGAGUCCUAGGUGGGCUUGGUUCAUACUCAAGUGGAGUAGAAUACGAUCCAAAUGAACCGUCGGAAUCAGAAUCCUCCUCGCGGAUUCAGUCGCUCUUAAUAUGCAAAAUUGUAAUACUUGCAAUUAAAAAUUAUUCAUGAAUUUAUGCAUAUCAACACAAAUAUGAACACCUAAUUAGUUCAAAAUAUUUCAAUUGGUUCAAAAUAUUGCACUCAAAAUAUUUCUUAUGCAUUUGACAUAAAAAUAUUUCUAUUGGUUGAAAAUAUUGCACUCAAAAUAUUUCUUAUGCAUUUCUUAUGCAGGCCUUGUUUCAUUUCUACUCUACUUAACAUUUUUCUUUUUCUUUUUUCAUUUUUUGCACCAUUGUGAAGUAACACAUAAAAAUAAUUAUCUUAUAUACACCAGUACAAUUUUUUAUAUUUAGUUGUUUGGUAGAAGUUUCAAUAGUUUUGAAACUGAUUUACAAAUUCUAAAUUUGGUCAUAAAUUCUACAAAUUGAAGUGGCUUCCCAAAAUGAUACAUCCCUCACAUAGUUUCUUAUAAUUCAAGUCAAACUUUGAUAUUUGAAUACCUUAAAACAUGUUCGAACUCAAAUUUGGACACGACCUUAUGUUGACUAUAACAUUGGAAAAUAUCAAGUUACUUUAGAAAUUAUUAUGCAAAAAUAUGUUUUUCUAUCCUCCAUAUAGGUUGAAACACCUCAUGAGUUAGAGGGUGUUUCAACCCAUAGUGACAAGUGAACUAACUACUCGUUAUAAUUUGUGUUAUCUAUGAAAUAAUAUUUUUUGAAUUCACUUAAUAAUAUUUAUAUUCAUGUGUAAAAGUUUGAAAUAAUUUUGAAAUCAUUUGCGAAGUAUUUAAAUAAUUUUGAACCCACUGCGCCGGCGGGUGCCUCAAUUCUGGCGGGCCGCGCGCCGUACCCCGUCCAUCACUGCUGUGCUCCUCCCCACCCGAGACUCCUCCACCGCGUACACUGUGCGCUGCCGUCCUCCCCACUUAUGUUUUUUUUCCAUUUUUUCCUUUUUGUUCAAGUAGAUCUAAUUAUUUGAUUGAAAUUCUAUUAGCAUAUAUAUGGUUUUUUGUAUGGAUUUUACUUACAUUGCAAUUGCUAUAAUUUGCUAGUUGUGGUGUAAAUCGCUUACAUGGAUAAGUUGUUCAAAUAAGUUUUGCAUUAUUUUUUCUAAAUUAUUUGCUUCCAGUAUAUAUUAUUUUUUCAUAUAGACAGUGUAAAUUUUGUUUAGAUAAGGAAUGUGUGAGAAAUUAAAAGUUGUUACGUUUUACCAUUUUUAUUCCAUGCAAUUGCAAAAUAAUAAUAAACAUGUUAUGAUUAGUUAUAACAAUGUUCAUGAGAUCUAAACCAACAAUUGUAAUUUUUUUCCAUUAUUUUGGAUAAUCUUUUAUUCUGAGUAUUUUGUAAAUUUUAUGUGGAUAGUUUGGGCUAACUAUGGCAAGUGGAAGACAUGGUGGUGCCGGCCGUGGAGGUGGCCGCCGUGGUGGUGGUGGCCGUGGAGGUGGCAGGGGACAUUUCGGACACGAUAACACUCCCGCUAGUCUUCAUUUUGUAAAUUGCCAUUCAACGAUCAAACCAGAGGAACAAUUCCUAACAUAGUAAUAUUCUUUCCUUCUUUUAAUUGAUUUUGUUACUACACAUGAAUAAAUUCUAAAUUUACUUCAAUGCAGCUUAUCAAUAAUAUUAGAUGACUCAGAGAUAUUGUCGAGAUAUUGUCGAAGCUUUAGGUGAUACUUCUCCUGUGGUGCAAACAGAGGAUGUAGGACCAAAUAUGGAAAGAAAACAUCUCUUUUUUCAAGUACCUAUUCGACAUCAAGAUUUCACCUCAUUGUCACCAGGAUAGGCCAUCCCGAUGGUCUCAAUUGCCGCAUGGGGUAGCACAACACCAGCUAGGGUAACUGUUGACAGGACCGUCGUGGAGGCCUGCUUAGAGCAGCUUAACGAUCAUGGGUACUUUGUGCUAGACUUUUCAUUUUUUCGUAUUAGAUGGCUUGAGGAGGGAGACAACAAUGUGAUUGUGACUGCUGAGAGGCUUUCUCGGCUUCAUGACAUGGUAUGGAAUAUUCUUUUAUCAUUCUUUUAACUUUAGUAGUGUUGCAUCUUUUAACUUUCAUCAUGUUCUAAUCAUAUUUUAUAGGAUAUAAAUGGUACUACCAUUGACGAAGCGAGCCUUCAUGCGAUUCGGCAUCAAAUUAUGGAAAGGCUUCAUUUGACUUACAUGGGUGGAAACCUGAUGUUCACCCUAGAUUUGAAGUUCCAGGCUCAACUCACUUUAUAUAGGCCACAUAAGUUAACACCUCCAAUAUUUUCCAUUUAUAGUAAUGUAUCUGGUCAUCCAUGUGAACCGAAGGAGAGUGCACUCAUCUGUACUCUAACUUAUUUUGACCAAGUUCUGGGUUGGACGAUUGGAGACAUUAACUAUAUUCCAUAUCUCUUUAGUUCUGGGCUGGACGAUUGGAGACAUUAAUUAUAUUCCAUAUCUAAGGAGAUGAGCCGGACUAUGAAAUAUGUAACAUGCAUGAUUGUACCGCUACCAUUUUCUUAUGCAUUUGAACUUGUUCUCUCUAGGAUCUUUAAUUAUUGAUGUAAUAACUUGCACUAUUAUCAGAACUAGUUAUAUUGUAUUGUGGCAUGGAUGUACCCCUACCCUUUUCUUAUGCUAGCAGUCAGAAGAUAAUAAAAUCUAAUCCACAUUAAUAAAGUCUUACAAGAUAAUUAAUAAGUCUUACAAGAAUAUUAAUUAGUCUUACAACAUAAGAGAAAAUAAAUGUAAUUUAUCCUUUAACAAUUCUUCCUUCACAGUCAGUACGUAACCAUGGCUUCAUGAAUUUAUCAAUGCUUACUUCAACACACUUGAUUCUUCGUUCAUGGUCUUUGAAAAGGUCCAAUUCCUCGUAAUGAUUGUAAUCCUCAAUGUCCACUACACCUUCAACUCCAAGGAUCCUUUGUUUUCCAGAGACAACAAUGUGCUUCUUUGCAUUCGUAGGGUCGAUUAUGUAGAAUACCUGUGCAACACGCUCAGCGAGUACCCAUGGGUCAUCUUUGUAACCUACAUUAGCUAGGUCUACAAGUGUCAACCCAUAAUUAUCAUUGAAAGGAUCUUGUGAUGCAUAGAGGGGGGGACUGAAAAACUUCGCAGCGGUAUUAGAUGUGUCUGAACUUUCGACGCUGUGCUGGAACUUCCGAUCCAUCGAAAGUUCCGGUACAGCAUCAGAACUUCCAACAGAAUAGAGUGAGCUGAACGAAAUUCAAAAUGCAACCUCAAACUAUCAAUUCUAUUUGAAUCAAAAGAUACUAAAUGAAGUGUAAAGACUACUUCAUGUGAUAUAUAUGCAAGGAACCACUCAAAUAUUUAGAUCGGCUAAAAACAAGCCUCUAGAUCAAGCUAGAAACAAAGAACACAAUAAGCACACGAGACAAGAAAUUGUUACCGGAGUUCACUCUCACUAAGAGAGCUACGUCUCCAUUGAGGAGCUCACAAAGAGCCAGGUCCUCACUAACCCUUUACCUCCCUCAAUCAACCAUAAAGGAAAAUUGAGUCACUUACUAUGAAUCCACGAAGGAUGGGUGAUACAGACGCUCCCGGGUGCACUACACGAAGAGGGCGCUCAAACGGGCGAUGCCUAGCCAUCUAGAAGCGAGAUUCAAGAGUAACAAACGCGAAUCGAAGCCGAGGAUGCUUGAAGUGCUCUUGAAAUGAACUUGUUGAACUCUUCACUCAAACCUCAAGGCACUCACCUUUAAUCUUGCUCUCACUCAAACCUUAGCUCAAAGAAUUCAAGGAUUUGGCUCAAAUGGGUGAGGGAGAGGUGUAUUCAAUGCUCUAGGGGGCUUUUGUCUCAAGUUAGUUCAGCAGCCUUGAAUGGAGGGCUGAGGGGGUAUUUAUACCUGAGCCCCCAAAACUAACCAUUACAGUCCCGCUAUGUGCUUAUCGGAACUUACGACACAGUGUUGGAACUUCCGAUGGAGUUAGAACUGGUGUGCAGAGGACCCCUGUCGGGAGUUUCAAGAAACACCCGACACACAUUUAUCGGAAGUUCCGAUACACUAUCCUAUCGGAACUUCCGACACUCUCAAGUCAGACGUGCAGAGGACCCCUGCCGGGACUAUCUGGAAACUUCCAAUACGUAUCGGAACUUCCGAUACAGUAUUGGAACUUCCGAUACACUCAGAAAAUCUGAGAAAAAGGUUGUGCAAGUGGGUUUUUUGUGUCUCUCAAUGGGUGGUCAGCAUCUCAAGUGAGCACUUUAGCAUCUUCAAGCUAUCCAUCCGCAUCCCCCUUAAUAGUACGGCGUUCCUAAACUCAAAUUCAAAAUUAGAAAAUAUAAAUGAAAAUCCUUUUGAGCUCAACACCAUUCUAUUUUUGCAUUUGGGCGUUUCUUGAGAAUCUUUAAGUACACCUUUGCACUCUUUUGCAAUUAAACCCUGUCAAUCACUUGAUAAUCAUAUUAGUCCCCUAAUCAUGCACGUCAUCAACACCAAAACCCACAUAGGGGGCGAAAUGCACUUACAGUCAUCCGUAACGCCAUUCGGGUGUUUCACCCAUUGGCACCAAAAGAUGGGGAUCCGGAUAUUCUCUCCAUAAUCAAGUUCCCAUAUUUCCUCUAUGAAACCGUAGUAAGUUAUGGUCUUUCCGGAUGUAUCGAUCGCCUCUAUGCGAACACCAUUGUUUUGGUAAGCCAUGCUUUUGUUGUCCUUUGCGGUGGUAUAAAAUGUGUAUCCAUUAAUUUCAUAUGCUUUCCAUGAGGUGACAUUGCUUGAUGGUCUAGAUGCCAACCUGGUCAAUGUUACAUCUUCUGUGGAAUUUUCUUGAAAUAGAUGCUCAUGGUCCUUCAACCAUGAUGGAAACUGACGCUUUUGCUCUUUUGAUGAUCCAAUUCUCCGAGCGACCAUUACUUUGUCCACGGACCUUAUUUAGGUGUUUCUCAAUGAAGGGCUCCACUAUUGCAAGUUAUUGUAGAACGAUUGAAUGCGCUUUCUCCAAUUGUUGAUUGUCCUUGUCUAUGAAUCUUUUCAUUCCAAUGGUACCUCUCCCGGACAAUCUACCCUCGUGUCAAGAUUCCGGUAAACCAAUAGCUCUCUUAUCUUUUAUGUAAUCUAUACAGCAAUCAACACUCUUUUCUGUAUGGUAGCUCUCGAUCAUGCUGCCCUCUAGAAAGGUCUUAUUUCUCAUGUAUCCAUUGAGAGUCGACAUGAACCAUUCGUAUGUCCACAUCUGAAGUACAUAGGCCCUAGUUCAGUUAUUUGCUGGACCAUGUGGACCAUGAGAUGUUCCAUGAUAUCGCAAAAGGAAGGAGGGAAGCACAUCUCGAGCUGGGCUUGAGUUUCCGACACAAACAGUUGAAGCCUAGCCAAAUUGACACAAUCAAUCACUUUUUGCAAAAUCACGUUGAAGAAAUAACACAUCCGUGUGAUAACCAUCUUCACGAAUACUGGUUUGAUAGCCCCGAUCGCAAUAACGAGAAAAACUAUGAUCAUCACAUGGCAAUCAUGAGAGUUAUAGCUGGCAGGCAUCAUGUCCUUCAAUGAGACUAGUGACCGGAUGUUUGAUGAGAAUCCGGUCGGCACUUUCAACCCGCGCAAGCACUUGCACAUAGCCAAUCUCUCUGCUGGUGUUAAGUUGUAACUAGCCGGGGAAGGUAAUGCUUACCAUUAGAUAGUUCUUGCAGGUGGAGCUCUGGCCUAAUUUGAAGGUCAACAAGAUCCUUUCAUGAUUUUAGUUCAUCCUUUGCCUUGCCUGAUAAGCCCAAUAAUCCGAUGGUGCUAUCAAACACAUUCUUCUGAAGAUGCAUCCCAUCAUUGGCAUGGCGCACUGCCAGCUCUUGCCAGUAUAGCAAAUACUUAAAGAAGAUAGACAUCUUCUUAAAUGGCACAUCUGCGACGUCUGUAGUUUUAGCCUGCUUUCUUUCCCUUUUUGACUUAUCACCGCCACCUAAUGACUUCUUACUGAGUUUGAACUUGACCUUCUCGCACAUUUCAAAUACUAUUUUAUCAGUAGCUGGUUUUGGAGCAAAAUCAUUCUCAUUGGUGCCAUCAAAGAAAUCCUUCAUCCUCCGAUAUUUAUGCAUCUUCAAUAAGAAGCGCCUAUGUCGCAUGAACACUAUCUUCAUAGAUCCCUUAAGGUACACAGAUGAUGUUCCAUCCAGGCAAACUACGCAUGUUGUCUUACCUUUUACCUGACCUGUCAGGACAAACAGGGUGGGAUAAUCAUUGAUGGUAAUAAAGAUAAUGGCCCUUAGUGUGAAGUGCUCGUGUCUGUACUCAUCCCACAUCCGAACCCCAUCUUCCCAAAGGUUCUGUAUAUCUUCCAUCAGUGGCUCAAGGAAAACAUCUAAGUCGAUGCCAGGCUGCUUCGGGCCUUGUAUGAGAAUGGUUAGCAAAAGGAACUUUCUCUUGUGACAUAGCUAUGGGAAAGGUUAUAUAUGGUCAUCAGCACUGGCCAUGUGCUGUGCGCGCUGCUUUUUUCACCAAACGGAUUCAUGCCGUCUAUACUCAACGUGAACCGUACAUUCCUUUUUUUUCUCUAAAAACUCUGGAUGAUUGGCAUCGAAGGUCCUCCACUAGUGAGCAUCGGAAGGAUUUUGAAGCUUUUUGUCAUCCUUUACUGGGCGAUCAACAUGCCAAGUCAUCAUUUCAGUAGUCUUUGGGUUUAAGAACAAACACUUCAGAUGGUCCACCACCGACAAGUACCACAUCACUAGGGUAGGAACUCUGCACUGAGUCGUCAUGUCAAUACCUAUACAGGACUUAUCCUCCACUUGAGCACAAGCACUUUUCUUUUCAACCUUUUUCCUCUUAUUCCCGAUGGAGGAACUGGCACAGUCCUCACAGAAAUUGGCAUUACUUUUGUAACAGCUAGCAUCGCAAUUUGGACACUUUCCAAUACCGCAUACUCACCAUGAUACAGUAUGCAGUGGUUCCUGCAUACGUGUAUUCUCUGCACACGCAUGUUCAAUGGAUUGAUAAUCUUCUUUGCUUCGUAUGUGUUUUUUGGCACAAAGUUCGGCUUCGGGAUCAAAUUGCCUAGCAGAGUAAGGAGAUCAUUGAAACUAUUGUCUGACCAGCUGAAUUUAGUCUUUAGGAUCAGAAGAUGAAGGACGAAAUGCAGCACUGUCCACUCCUUCCCACAUCCCACAUACAUACGGUCCUUUGCUGCCUUCUUGAGCGUCUCGAAAUUCUCUAACCCUUUAGCACUCCCUAGCAACACUUCCGGAUCAAUGUGGCGCAACAUAUCCUCCAUAUCAACAUCACCAUUUUGAUCUCCACAGUCGUAAUCAUCAUCCAUCAUAACAUGAUCAUUGUUGUUUGCAUCAUCACCACCCACUUCAUCACAGCCAGUAUUGAUGUAUGUGUUAUUGGAAGUACCUCCUGCCUCUCCAUGGUGGGACCAAAUUGUGUAAUCAUCCACAAAAUCUCGCUUUAUCAAAUGCCUCUUAAUGACAUUAGUAUCCUCACAUACAAUUUUGUUGCUACAGUCAAAACACGGACAACGUAUUUGCUUUGUCUUGCAAAUGCGAGUGUGCUUCUUCGCAGCCUCUACAAACUUCGCUACCUCUGACAUGAAAGUAGGCAAAUGUCUCCGUAUGCCAUAUAUUCAUGCUCUUUGAUCCAUCUUUAAUAACCUAUGAGCUAUUCCAUAAACUAAAUUGAAUUAUGGAUGUUUUUGGUGUAGCCACCCUUCAGAGAAAUCAAGAGCAAAACCUUCCCCCUUAGAUUUGGUAUUUUUGAAGAUUUUCCCAAGCAGUUAAACCUAGGAUGUAAUAAUUCAUAAGAAGAAUGAAAAAAAUCAAACUCAAUUAUAUAUUAAUUCAAUCAACUUCAUUAAUUGAAACUAUGGAUGUAAUAAUUAAUAAGUAGGGGAAAUAUAAUAAAAACCAAUUCUAUAUUACCCUAAAUGAGAAUAAUUGAACCAUGGAUGUAAUAAUUAAUAAGAAGAAGGGAAAAAUCAAACUCAAUUAUAUAUUAAGAUAAUCAACUUCAUUAAUUAAAACUAUGGAUGUAACAAUUAAUAAGAAGGGAAAAUAUAAUCAAACUCAAUUCUAUAUUACAUUAAAAUGACAAACAUAGCAUUGUAAUGGUUAUAAUAUGACCAUAGAAUUGUAUUCACAAAAAUAAUCCAUUUCUAUUUUUUUUCUCUCUUCCCUCCUCUCUCUCUCCUAGUUCUAGAUCUAGAUCUAGAUGAUAAGCUAAUGAAGCUAGAUAUGAUGGAUAGAAGUUCAAAAAGGAGGUUGGAAUGGUACAAACCCACCUUAUAUAGCCAUCUCCUCCAAGAAAAUCAAGAGCAAAAUCUUCCUCCUUAGAUUUAGUGUUUUUGGAGCUUUUCCCUAGCUCCUCUCGGGCAAGCUCCAAAUGGAAGGUUGCCUGGGGAAGAAGACGAAUAGGAGCAUUUAUGGUGGGCUCUGUGUUGGUGGGUGACAUAAGCCAACCGUCAGCACACUCUGUGCUAGCGGGUGACAUAAGCCAACCGUCAGCACAGAUCACUCCAUCUAUGCUGGCGGUGGGCUUAGGUCGCCCGCCAUCACAGAUGGGGCGAUCUGUGCUGGCGAGUGCUUGCGUCGCCCGCUAGCACAGUGGCCACUUUGCUGGCGGGUGCUCCCCCGCCAGCCCGAGGAAGCUUUGUGCUAGCGGGUGCCAAUCACGCCCGCCAGCACGCUAAUUUGCCUGUGCCAGUACAAAUCGUUUCUGGCGCAGCGAGGGGUAUCUCUAUUAAGAAAGUUUUUUUAUUUUUUUCUGUUCAGAAUAAGUUUAGUUCUCGCCAUGCACAUGAUCAAAUUAAACACGCGGCAAUUGUCUUGUACCAGGAGAUAAAGACUUUAUCUCAUGCAGCGAAUCCUAUGCCCAAUACCCAGCAUAUCAAGCAGCAAGCUGGGGCUCUUGUUGGUUCCUACGAGCCGUCUCCGGUUAUCUCUUAUCAUGUGGCCAAGGACAUCAGAAUCACUGAUGGCAUAUAUCAAUAAUACGCAUUUGAGCUCACGCUGACAGGCUACGCAUAAAACCUUUGUCGCGUUGCUUUCGAUUCCCUGUUUCCUUAGAUUCCAAUAAGAUUUUUCAAUCUUGAUGACACGACUCAUUGAUAUCAGGUGCGGAUCAAACAUUUCAGAGUACCAUUGAUGGAACCUGCAUACUAAGAUUACGAUCGAAAAUGAGCUCAACUUUUGCAAAAGGUUGGCUGUCCCUGGCAUUUCAAAGUGUUUUAUUUGCUCCUCGUGAUGAAAUGCACCAAAAUUUCAUUUGGCCAAUAAUACCCUGACGUGAUUACCUUUUGAGAUCUGAAAAAUAUAAUAUCAUGUCAUCAAGCCACCAUAUUUAAUAUGAAAUUUUUUGAUGCAUCACUAUCUAAUAAAAUAACAGUUCCAUUAUUACCCUUGAACAACUGAUGCUAUGCUGGUUACCGUUCUUACCGAGGAACAGUUCAUCUUUCUGAUAACUACUCCGAUGCUAUUGGAUGCUUCUCAGCAUUCUCAGAGUAAGCGUACGUGUCUCCCAUGGAACCGGGCAGCAGCCUGCAGGUACUUUGCUAAAAUAAGCGCGGCUCCUCGUGUCAUGCUGUAACCAUCUGAAGUUUUAUUUUUCUGCUACAUUGGGAGCUUUUAUUUUCGUUAUGGCACAUUUGCAUUCUGCAAUUGAGUAAACAGUGACAAUUUUCAGACAUGCAGCUACACUACGGCACAACGGAUGUCGUUGUGCAAUAUGUAGUAGUGAAGAAUAUGAAUCACAACGCGCGUAUAUGAGCUGUUCUACUAGAAUGUGGUGACUGUUGAAGUCGUGAAGAAUAUCAUCUGCAAUGCAUGUAUAUGAACACACCCUUUCGAUGACAGGCAUCUGGUGCUAUGCUGCCUUUCUUUCUAAUUUCUUUCUGAUCUUGUCAGGAUCCUGAUUCUUGUUGAUCAGGUCCUUGUGCAGUAUUUCCUCAGUAUUUAUGAGAAAUUUUUCCCAUAUUACGAUUGUGUUGGGGUAACUUCACCAGACUCUUCGUUGGUUGUGUGCACAUCUAGUGAUGCAAAGUAGACCUGAACAAACUAGGCACGACCCAAUCCGAGCCUGACAGGCUAAGCCCGGGCCACGACGCUACAUUAGGGCUGAGCGUGGUGCUCAAAAAAAGUUGGGCUGGGCUGGACCCAGCCCAGCUGUUUAUUUAAUUUUAUUUUUGACAUAAAAAUGAUAGGUGGCUUGGCUAGCUUAAAAAAACCGAAAGCCUCAGCCCCAAAACUCUUCAUGCAUGGGCAGGCUUGGCGAUGUCUUUUGGACCUGAAACAUCUCAGGCUUUUUCUCAGCCGGGCUUAACUCUAAUGCAAAGGUUAGAUUGAUUUUCAAAUUUCAGCAUCAAAAAAAUUUAUAUGAUCAAAAAAGAAAUUAUGCAGGAGAUUACACAAUUCACCCGAAUUGUAUCCUUAUUUGGUAGGAUGAAGACACCUCUUCAUAAUGAUGUUAAGGUAUAAAAUUGUCCGCUUUAAUCCAUAUAAAUGGAAAGAAAUAUCUAGAAAUUAUCCCAUCAAUCAAGUUGAGGUGAGAAAAAUAUUUAUUUUCUUCUUAUGGGUCCUGUAAGAUCUGAUCUGCAUCCAAAAUCCACUUGUGGAUCAACUCCCCACGUGGAACGAACCUGCAUAUACAUAGAACUUUUCUUAUACUUGUCCCCACUUCACAUAAAAGCUAGUUUAAUCUUGACAAUGUUUGAGUGACAUGGAUUAUAAGCUAGCAUGAACCUACAAGUUGCAACUAAUUUCACUACAAUAGAAUGCAUGUUCCAGAUAUUACAGGCCCAAUUAUGAAAACACAAGUUGAUACGAGUCAAGAAGCUGCAAUUGCAUUAAAAAGGAAAGAAAGAGACUAAUAAGAUAUAAAUUGAAAAGAAGAAUUAUAUAACUCUUAUGGAAAAUAUAAGUGGGUUAGUAAAAGUUUUGAAAUAUGUGAAUCGGGACUAGAUUAAUUGCUAGCCAAUGGACCUUUUGUGCUGGCGGGUGGCAAUCAUGCCCGCCAGCACCCAAAAAUCAAGGUGCUAGCACAAAUCGUUUCUGAUGUAGUGGGAGAUAGCUACCUAGCCGAGACAAAGUUACAUCAAGCACAAAAAAUUGUAGGACGACUCCAAAUAUCUCUGACGCUAUUGAAUCACCAUGGUUUGGCUCUCUUUACGAACACAGCACUUCCUCCACGAGAAUACAUCAUGGGAAAUAACACCAAAGCAGAAUAGAAACGUAUAGUCAAAUAUCUAAAUAGCACCAUUGUAUGAUGUAGCGAUUCAGGAAUACAACAUGAAGGCGGUUUCUUAAGAAUAGUGGGCUGGUUUUCGAGUUUUAAGGCUUACGUCCAUAUUUGCAUCGCCAUGACUAGUUGCUACUUCUAAGUCAUUUAUCUGUUCAACGUAACUUGAGUGUUUUGGGUUGUUCCUUGCAUCUGCUAUAAAUGCAAUAUACAACCAACUGAAGAGUACUAGUUAAACACCCGACGCUGUUUGGUGCCUUCAGAACAAAACAAGUUGGUCAGUAACUCAGUUUGACCAUAGUGGAGUCAAUGUAAAGCCAGGUUGCAUAUAUACUAACCAUGAUAUAGGGAUCCCUUCCAAGUAUUCCAUAUACCACACAGAUUAAACUGGUUAAUAAGGAAAACAACGACAGGUAGAAAGGCAUGAACUCCACACUUUUCAUUGUUUUUUUUACCACCGCCGGUUUAUACUAAAACUAGUACUAAAGUUGUUUUUUGGAUGGAUACUAAAGUUGUUUUUUUUACCACUGCCAGGUGAAAACGUAUCACCGCCGGUUCUGAUGACCUCAUUGGUGAUAACCCUUUCUGUAGUAGUGAAAGGUUGUUAGUGAAACCAAUAUAUGGUAGAAUAUUAAAUGCGAAGUACCUCUUUUCCUAUUCAUACGAGAAACGAUGUUUUCGGCAAACCCAUAGCAAUGUAGACAAAGUGAUCUUCAUGUAUUUGCUAGGCAUCUAGCUAAUAAAAUUAUAUUCCACCUAUGCGCCUUAGGGAAUCAUAAAAGCUUUCAUGUUUUCAUCAUCGUUCAUUGCUGUUCCAUUCCACCUAAUAACAAACCUAGCUUAUGACUUUCUUGACCACAUAGCUUAUUGGGUAUUUGGGUACAAGACAUUAGGCAUUGCUGCAGAGAAGGGAAGACGGAGAGCUGAUAUACAUGGGCUGCUGAUCAGCUUUGGAGAUGGUGUGUGGAAUUCAUCACUGAACAUGAUGUCAAUAAUAGGCUAUGUGUUGCUUGAUAUAUGCCAAUCACCAUAUGACUUGUUACAUUAUUGCUUUGCGACUUCGGCCUUCAGAUGAAAUGGGACUCUCCUGCUGCCGUCUCUACAACGUACGUUGACUGCCUCACAAGAGUAAGGUCGUCAGCAAGGCUGCGAUGUUGCCAACUAUCAUUAAUGUAUGUAUUGGCUCUCGGUAGCAACCAGGAGGGAUACAUCAUAUCCAUGCCAGUUCUUAACAACAUUCGGCAUGGAUAAUAUACUUAUCCAUGUGGGCCCAUUAACAAUUGAUACAGAUAUGUGACAAUCCCCAACUAGCCCCACUCUCGGAAAUCAUAUACACAAUCAUAUACUUUGUAUGCUCCUCCGUGGACAAACGGAGGAUGGCGGCGUUGGUGUCGCUCCUCCCGAGGCAUCGCCUUGCAUGAUAUUCUCGCUCUACCUCCACUAGCUUCGGGUUGUUAGGCAAUCGGUGAUGUGCAUGCGUUCAUGGUGUCCUUAUCUCCUGCAGGUUUCAAGCGUCUUAGGUCGUGUUUAGCGUGGUGGUGGUGCUGUUUUUUCUUUUGUUGUGUUUUUGCUGUUGGUCGUAGGUGAUGGUUCUUGUAACUCUGCGCUUUGGGGUCUCUCCUAAAGUUGCAUCAUUGUAAUUCUCUUCUUCUUAAUGAAAAAUGUGCUAUGCACGUCUUAAAAAACACCGUGUCCGUGACGCUGAAUUCACAUUUACAACUAAUGAAUGGGAUAUAUGUGUUGUAAUCAAUUUAAAUUUCCUAUCGGUUCCUCUUUUUUUCAAGGAAUACAUUGGGAAAUAAUCAAAAUGGUCACAUAGAAGAUAAAUGAUGGAUUUAUAUUUUGUUUAUGUUUUCUACCAUUUGUUUAAAACAAGUCAUGUAAAUUUCAUAUAUAUUGAUGGACAAACUCUGAAUCCUUGGUGUUGUCAACCCAUCUCCUUUUUAUGGCUAGCUGAUGAUACGAGGCCCUUAUAGUGGCAAAUUAUUUCAUAACAUGCCUCUAAGUAUUCUUAAUACUACUUCCCACUCACUCUAAACGAAUGGUAGAAAACAUAUUCAUCUUCAUCAGAAGAAUGUCAUGAGUGGAAUUGCAUUUAUAAUCCUAGGGCAGUAAAAACAUACAAUUACAUAUUUUGAUUUGUAAACUAUAUACACUAGACAUCAGACGACCCGUUUGCCAUGUGUAUGUUCCUUCCUGUUCAUUUUCUUUAGAGGGUACAUUAUAGACAAACACUCAACACAGAUCACACUCACACACCACCAUGCAUGUGCAUACGUUAGGGGACACACAAGGAACGUUAGUGGGCACUAGCGUGUGUACUCCUAAUAUAGAUAAGCUAGUGGGCAUUAGUAGUGUCGAGUAAAAACAGUGGACACCAGCAUGGAGCCAAGAACUUGAGGCGGGCUGACCGUAUGCCCAGUGCGGCAGUGCCCACAAGCACAACACUAACCACCAAGGUACUGCCCAGUUUCCAUUGCGCGGUAGCGAUACAUUGCCUUAUCCCUGUCGGCUGUCGGUUUAUGGUUAGAAAUGGCAGAGAAAGUGUGCUGCUUACCAUUCUAGCAAAGGAAUAUAUUUAUUUUACUGACAACCAUUCUGAAGCUGCUACUGGCUGCUGCUCAGCAUGUUCAGAGCAGGCGUGUUUCGCCGAGAACCUUUGCAGACACUUUGCUGAAAUGAGUGCGGCUCCUUUCGUCCAGUGAGUACCAAGUGAUAAUUUUCAGACAUGCAGCUAACUAUACGGCUCAAAGGCUGUCCUAGUGCUAUGUAGUGAAGAAUAUCAACCACAACGCCUGUCUAUGUGGUGUUGUGCUAGAAGUAGAAGGCGGUGAUUGGUGAAGAAUAUCAGCUCUAUUGUUGCACGCAUAUGAGCGUCGUCCUUUCGGUGGCAGGCAUCUGGUGCUAUGCUAAUUCUUUUGUUUUACUUUAUUCGAAGAUAUGCAACAUUUGCACGAUGACUUCUUAGCUUUCUGAUCUGGUCAGGAUCAUUAGUAGAGAAAUUUUGACUGUGUGCAUCCAAUAAUGAUGCCAAGAUAAUAUUAAGAUUGAUUUUCCGAUUCCUUGUAUCUAAAAGAAAAGGUUCUAUAUGUUUGUACAAGAAAUUCUACUGGACACUGCAGGCCUUUGCCCGAACUGUGUGUCUGUGCAUACUUGAUUGAGGAUAAAAUUUUGUUUGCAAAUCUAUGUUAGUAUUUUAUAAAAAGUGGUGGGUUAAGACAUCUUAUUCACUUUAAGGUCUACAUUAAUUAUAUAUUAAUCCCUAUCAAAGCAAAUAAUACAUAUUAAUUCUCUCGGUAACCGAGGGGAGAAGAAUAUGCAUGUCUUUUUUUACGGACAAAUUAUGAAGAGGAUAUGUGUUGUGCCUUAGUUUAUUUCACAGGUUGCUUUCCCUCCUACGACGUGCCGGAGCACGGGGACUCGUCCACCCCCGGCCCCAAGAUGACGCCACGACGGGGCGCUCCAACGUACACAUAUAGACACUCAAACUGCAGCUGCAAUUGAAUUAUAAAAGUAAAUAUGCAAACUGAGAUAUGGCGCUAUUGGGUGGAGAGAGGAGAGAGAGCUUCCUGGCCAACAAAACUACCUAAAGCAAAUAAUUUUGUACGACUUCAAUGGAAUAUCAGUAUAUCACUAAUUCUAUUGGAUCUCCACAGUUCGGCUCUCCAUACAUCAUGAAAUAUACCCUACACGUACUAUCAAAUAGAGGUUUGUUACGGUGUCUGCGAGGGUUUAAUUUGGAUUUAGACCAAUGGACGGCUGUCGUUAUUGGGCUCUACGCAGCUAAAGUUUAGAAACUUUGACCAUUCAUAUACAUGAAAGUAUUAAGUUUCAUCACAUUAAAAUGAGAGUAAUUAAUAGAUUUGUCCUGGGAAUACCCUCAAAAGAGAAUAUAUUUUCGUAACGUCAACAAAUUUAAAAUGCAUUAAACAAGUAAUGGUCAAAGAUAUGUAUUACCAGAAAACAUUUAUGCUGGCUGGCGGGUUUCGCACUCGCCAGCAACCUUGAGCUGGCAGAAAUCGGCCUUUCUGCUAGCGGGUUCAUGACCGCCACCGCAGAGGCAUGUGCGCUGGUGGACGAGUUAAGUCAGCCGCCACCACAGAAUACAUUUCCACCGGCUAGUACUAAUAAUUUAGGAAAACAAAAAUAAAGUUGCAUCCCAUAUUGCCCGUCAUGCGUCAGGGUGCCAACGGGAUGCAAUGGUAUUUGUUCCCGACAGAUCCCUUGAGGUAGAGAAUACUAGAUCGACGAUUUACCAAACAAAUCAAACAAAUCUUGCAACUUACAUCUCUUCCAAGAAGAUACAUUUGGAUUUGAGGGCUACAAGCAAAUAAAAGAUUCUGCACAUCGUAAUAGGCUAAUGGCCGAUAACAAAGGAGCUAAAAGAGAAUAAAAAUGAAACUAGAGAUUCUUUUAAAAAAACGAAACCAGAGAGCAAACAAGCAACUCAGUCAAUCUAAGCAAGCUUCCCGGCCCCUGCACUUGCCCACGGCCACCGUGGAACUCUGCACGCCGCACCUGCACUUUGUUGUGACUUGUGAGCAUUACCGGAGAGGACACGACGGAGCCAGACGAGGAAGGAGGAUGACGAGCUCCACAGGCUGGCGCCUCCACUAGCCGCCCGCGCCGCUGCUCUUCUAGCGCGCGCCGACCACUGCUCUGCCUCCACACCCGCCGCUGCCAUGGACUCCGCCUCCACGCCACCGUUCUUCUAGCGCACGCCAACUGCUGCUCCGCCUCCACACCUACCGGUCGCCGCUGUCGUGCACUCUACCUCCGCGCCCACGUGCCGCUGCUGCCAUGAACUCCACGCCGACCGCUACUGCUCGUUGCCGCCGUCGGCCUUGUGCGGAGGAAGGAAACGGAUAAAGCAGAGAGAGGAACGAGAUGUGAGGAUAGGAGAGAACGGGGGGAGAUAAAAGGGAGAGAGAGGGAAGCCUGCGCGUGAAUUUUUUUCGUUGACACUUCGCGACUGGGAAUUUUUGUUUCCCCACCAAAUCUGGUACCAUUAGCGAUGGCAGGUGUUUCCAUCUGUGGUGAUGGGUGACAUAUGCACCUGCCAGCACAAAGCCUUCUAAUUUUUCUCUUUACUUUUAAUUUUUUUAAAACAAGUAGAUUCAUUUAAAAUUAUAACAACUCUUACAAAAGAAUACAACAAAUUAUAUUGAGAUAUGUACGAUGAUUUUUUUUUGUCAAGUUAGUUCACAAGUUUGAAAGUCUAACUUGAGUCCUAUGAAACAAUGUAAGGUAAUGUAACUAUUUGUUAAUAAUGUAUGGUCUAAUGUUCUUAAAAUAUAUUGAAACUUUUAUCAUAGGAUAGUGCACUCAUAAAAUGAUUUUGCACCGACUUAUAUAAUUUUCAGACCACAUUUAGAUAUUUUUACAAUUUGUUUUCACCAAAAGUCUAAAUAGAAGUGACAAAUAUACCUAACAAACUUUGUGAUUUUUUCGUGUACUUUCGUGGUUUAGGCUAAAAUGGAAUAUAUGUCUUUAACAUCAUUUUUCUAAAAUUUUAAAUCUUAUUUGUGAAAAAAAUUAGUUCAAGUAUCAAUUAAUUUUAAUAAACACGCUUAUAAUCAUUUAAAUCUUAGAAAAUAGUAAAUUAUUUCUAAAAAUUUUGAAACUCCUACACAACAACACAUAUGUAAUCUAAUAUAUGUUAAAAAUAUAUUGUGAUAUGAAGAUAAUUAUUUUAGCUAACUAAAUACUUUUGGCCCUACUGAUGAAUGUACAUUGAAAUGUAUUUGUGCUGACGAGUGACAUAAGCACUCGCCAGCACAAAUGGAGGCCAUUUGUGUUGGCGGGUGCUUAUGCAUCUGUGCUGGCGGGUUUUAAUGUGCCGGCUCCAAUGUCUUUUGUGUUGACGGGUGGCAAUUAGACCCGCCAACAACUAAAAAUUCAUGUAUCAGCACAAAUCAUUUUUGACGUAGUGUUAGACCAUGCUGAUGAUGUCCAAAAUGACAAGAGAAAAUUAAACGGGGGAAAGUAAUGGGGCUUGGUACUAGGAUCAUUAGUUCCCAGAUUCCUGUUGCGUUUGUAUGUCAUGGAUGCCUACACUCAUCCCCGAUCUUGGUCCUGAACAAACUUUAUUUAAUCUUCUGUGCAUAUAAAAAUUAUCUUAUCCUGCCGGCUGGCAUUUGAGAAUCAAGCAUCAGAUCAUGACAACAUUAUAACCAUGUCUGAAAGUCCUUUUUGCUAACAUUGUUUCCACUCUAGUUCAUUGAAUUUAGACCGUUAACUAAAAGGACCUGAUUGGCAUCAGAAAAAGGAAGGGUGGAGAUAAGUCAAAAUCACACAUUCCAAGCGGUUGAAUAUAGUACCACACUUUUUUUUGAAAGGAUAUAGUACCACACUUUCACGAUAAUGCCUGGCGCACUAACCCUGAGCAAAAUUCUAGCCAGAGGGAGAAAGAACGCAUGCAAUGUCUAUUUGGAUCUCUUCAUUUGGGCUGAAUUAAAAAUCUAAUCAUGGCUGCCGCCGCAACAUGGAAUUGGAAUAUGACAUUGCAGUUCUUUCCACAGCUCAAGUUGCUUGGGUAAAAAAGGAAAGAGAGAUUCCAUAGGAGCCGUUUGGUCGGCGCUCUGUCGUCAACCAGCCAAACCUAGCUACGCAGACAGGAUCGUGUAAAGUACAGUACGCCCGAAGCGGCCCAUGAUAUUGUAUGCUUCCUCGCAAUGAUCGUUUCUGAUCCACACCAUCUUUGGCCCAGGCCCUUUUCUCAACACAUCCACCCCACACCAGUCUGAUGUACUAUGCGGCAGCUCCUCACUGUCGUAGAGCCGUAAUCCGGCUACACUGGGGCUUCUUUCUAUCACACCCUCACCUCCUCCAAUGCCCCAACUGGUGGCAAUGCGGCAAACCAUCACCAAUGUCGACCCAACUCUGCCCAAAGGCACCUCAUCUCUAAUCCCACUUUCCACCGAUCACCAAACUUAAUAUUAGCUCUGUUCCAAAUUACUAUUUAUUUUUUUACCUUUUCUAGAUGUAUAAUAUAUACUAUAUCUAUCUAUAUAUAAACGUUAUGUAUAUAGAAAAAUCAAAAUGAAUAGUAAUUUAGGAUGGAGGAAGUAAUUAUCACUGGUGACAUGCGGCACAAGGAAUGGCAACGACUGCACAAGGAGAGCCAAGAUUGAAUACGGCUCACUGCCGUAUGGCUGUCCCAGGCUGUGUUUGCUUCUCACAAUGAAGCAGGACCCACCGGCAACCGGCCGGCAGGCGCCAUCCACCGGCGAACACCCCUGAGUUGUUCUCGGUUUUUUUUUUUUUGAAAUAAGUUUGUUCACGGUUAUAUCUCCGGCAGAUGACCGUUUCUCCCCCUCCGUGACUGAAUUCUGAUUUACAAAAAGUAGCGAUAGAAGUUCCUCUUGGCUAAUUACUCCUCCGGUGCUGAAACUGACAGGUCUGCAGGACAGUCUUGGUCUCUUGUAGGCUUAUGAAGUAACGUUUUCUACAUGCUCAAUUCACAAACACAAAUCACUUUGGGAUUACAUAAUUCUUCAAGCAAAAUAAGACGAAGGCUGGUCAGACUGCCAUCCAUCUAAACUUAAAAGUUAAAUUGGUGAUCCGAGAAAGACAAAUGUUUGAACAUGAGAUGGACCUGUACUAUAUUUCAUUUGUUGUGUCCCACGGAUUCUUUCGACUCUAAUAUCGAACAUUUUACAUUAAAUUCAAUAAGAUUUUCUGAAAGGUGUGUUGUUGAAGCGAACCCAGGAAAGCUUCAGCAGUGGCACCUUUCUAAACCAUAUAAGCAAUUCUUCCACUCUUACUACAUCUGCAAAUCAUGCAUGAUAAAACCAUCCAGCAAAAAGAAAGUAGUAUAUACAUGGCAUAUUGGCAUCACCCAUUACAAUAAGCACUGGUAAUUAGUACAACAAAGAAACCAAAUACUAUUACAGCAAUUGCACGCACGCUUUCUAGCUAGUGUUUCAAAAGCAGAGGAAGCCACCCUUGACCGCCGGCGGCAAGCUGGACUCCCCGCAGAGGCAGUCCACCUUCCACCCAGGCAGCGGUCCCACGUUGUCACCCUCAGCUCUUCUGCCGUCGCUGCCGCGCCACGCGGUGGCCGGAGACGGCGUGCCCGGUGUGCUGGGUUCCUUGCCCGCCUGCUUAUUCACCUCGUAGAUGGCAACGCCAACGCUGCCGCUCGCCGGCGCCACGUCGGGACCGGCGACAGUUAUCUCCGUCAUCUUACCCCUCCUCUCCAUGCCCAGAUCUCCAAUUCCUGCACACUGUUUGGUGAUUUUUUUUUUCUUGGCGAGUCUGCGUGCUUUUCUAUAUUAGCUUCCUGAAAUUGAGAAGCUGUUUUAUAGCUAGGACGACAGAGAAGAUGAUGGCAGCCGGGAAGAUGACUCGGCUGUCAAUUCCGGGAAGAAGACGAUAGCCAUAAAUGAUGAGCAACAGGUGGCAUGAAAUGGAUAAGAACGUGAC
rnacentral:lncRNA from 1 species